GGAGGAUCCAAGCGUUAUCCGGAUUUAUUGGGUUUAAGGGGUGCGUAGGCGGCUUUUUAAGUCAGGGGUGAAAGACGGCAGCUCAACUGUCGCAGUGCCUUUGAUACUGAAGAGCUUGAAUACACUUGAAGUAGGCGGAAUGUGACAAGUAGCGGUGAAAUGCAUAGAUAUGUCACAGAACACCAAUUGCGAAGGCAGCUUACUAAAGUGUGAUUGACGCUGAGGCACGAAAGCGUGGGGAUCAAACAGGAUUAGAUACCCUGGUAGUCCACGCCCUAAACGAUGAACACUCGAUGUUGGCGAUAUACGGUCAGCGUCUAAGCGAAAGCGUUAAGUGUUCCACCUGGGGAGUACGCCCGCAAGGGUG
rnacentral:rRNA from 1 species